rnacentral:rRNA from 1 species
AGAUUGAACGCUGGCGGCAUGCCUUACACAUGCAAGUCGAACGGCAGCACGGGGGCAACCCUGGUGGCGAGUGGCGAACGGGUGAGUAACAUAUCGGAACGUGCCCUGGAGUGGGGGAUAACUAGUCGAAAGAUUAGCUAAUACCGCAUACGAUCUACGGAUGAAAGUGGGGAUCGCAAGACCUCAUGCUCGUGGAGCGGCCGAUAUCUGAUUAGCUAGUUGGUGGGUAAGGCCUACCAAGGCAUCGAUCAGUAGCUGGUCUGAGAGGACGACCAGCCACACU